GACGAACGCUGGCGGCGUGCUUAACACAUGCAAGUCGAACGGAAAGGCCCUGCUUUUGUGGGGUGCUCGAGUGGCGAACGGGUGAGUAACACGUGAGUAACCUGCCCUUGACUUUGGGAUAACUUCAGGAAACUGGGGCUAAUACCGGAUAGGAGCUCCUGCUGCAUGGUGGGGGUUGGAAAGUUUCGGCGGUUGGGGAUGGACUGGCGGCUUAUCAGCUUGUUGGUGGGGUAGUGGCUUACCAAGGCUUUGACGGGUAGCCGGGCUGGGAGGGUGAGCGGCCCCAUUGGGACUGGGAUACGGCCCAGACUACUACGGGAGGCAGCGGUGGGGAAUAUUACACAAUGGGCGGGAGCCUGAUGCAGCAACGCCGCGUGCGGGAUGACGGCCUUCGGGUUGUAAACCGCUUUCGCCUGUGACGAAGCGUGAGUGACGGUAAUGGGUAAAGAAGCACCGGCUAACUACGUG
rnacentral:rRNA from 1 species